CCUUGGUGGAGCUGAUGAAGGACGUCUGUCACAUCAUGCCCAUCUCCUACCGUAUUCAGUGCCAGUUUGUCAUCGGCACGUUCAUCAAGACGCUGCUGGACGCCCUCCGAAGCUUUGCCACCCCGAAGGCCAUCUGCACACUCAUCCGCCUGUGCAAAAGUCAGGAGGGUCCUUCCGUUGACCCCUGCACUUUGCCAACAUACCGGUGCAGGGACCUACCAACCUCUCUGAAAUGUGGGACUCUGUUCUACUGUCAAAGAUUUUCCUGGAAACCCCUCAGCUACAACACUCUUUGAAGACUUGUCAGGCUGGAAUUGUGAGUCAUCACAUGUCUGAGCCAGGUGUUGCGGUG